CAGAGGGGGCAAGCGUUAUUCGGAAUUAUUGGGCGUAAAGGGCGCGUAGGCGGCUUGGCAAGUGGAAGGUGAAAUCCCUCGGCUUAACCGAGGAACUGCCCUCCAAACUGCUUUGCUUGAGGCCGGGAGAGGCGAGUGGAAUUCCCAGUGUAGCGGUGAAAUGCGUAGAUAUUGGGAGGAACACCAGUGGCGAAGGCGGCUCGCUGGACCGGUUCUGACGCUGAGGCGCGAAAGCGUGGGGAGCAAACGGGAUUAGAUACCCCGGUAGUCCACGCUGUAAACGAUGAGUGCUUGGUGUAGCGGGUAUCGACCCCUGCUGUGCCGAAGUCAACACAUUAAGCACUCCGCCUGGGGAGUACGGUCGCAAGGCUG
rnacentral:rRNA from 1 species